AUCGAACGCUGGCGGCAGGCCUAACACAUGCAAGUCGAGCGAGCGGCGGACGGGUGCGUAAUGUCUGGGAAACUGCCUGUUGGAGGGGGAUCACUACUGGAAACGGUUGCUAAUCCCGCAUACCAUCAGAUUUGCCCAGAGGGGAUUAGCUAGUAGGUGGGGUAACGGCUCACCUAGGCGACGAUCCCUAGCUGGUCUGAGAGGAUGACCAGCAACACUGGAACUGAGACACGGUCCAGACUCCUACGGGAGGCAGCAGUGGGGAAUAUUCGACAAUGGGCGAAAGCCUGAUGCAGCCAUGCCGCGUGUGUGAAGAAGGCCUUCGGGUUGUAAAGCACUGUCAGCGGGGAGGCGGUAUCCGCAGAAGAAGCACCGGCUAACUCCGUGCCAGCAGCCGCGGUAAUUC
rnacentral:rRNA from 1 species